rnacentral:rRNA from 1 species
UACCAGCACCCCGAGUGGUCGGGACGUUUAUUGGGCCUAAAGCAUCCGUAGCCGGUUCUACAAGUCUUCCGUUAAAUCCACCUGCUUAACAGAUGGGCUGCGGAAGAUACUAUGGAGCUAGGAGGCGGGAGAGGCAAGCGGUACUCGAUGGGUAGGGGUAAAAUCCGUUGAUCCAUUGAAGACCACCAGUGGCGAAGGCGGCUUGCCAGAAUGCGCUCGACGGUGAGGGAUGAAAGCUGGGGGAGCAAAUCGG